GUCUUGAGAUAUAAGCCUUGUGGCGUCCCCAUGUUGGGCUUGGUGGUGGGCGGCUGGCGCUGCUGCCGAAGACUAAUGCUUUUUAUGGCUACUCCUUCCAUUUCCCUAACUGAUCGUCCUCCAAAAAGGGGGCGCAACGAAGCAACCACUCGAUUUUUCUUCAAGAGCUACGACAACUUUGCGAAGUACCAUGUGAUCCACAGUGACGGCAAUCUAACAGCCAGAAAACUAUCUCCCUUCAAAGUGCCUAAGAGGCACAUUAGGCACAGGAUUUAAAGCUACAAGGAUGGCUAGUGGCGACAUCCUUCUGGAACUGAAAGAGAAAGAGUAACUUAAAAAGCUUUCAGACCUCAAGUUCAUUGGUGACAUAGUAGUAACUGUCACGGCACACCGUUCGAUGAACAGUGUUCUUGGGGUAAUCUCUGAUGAAGACAUGCUUGACCUUAGUGAUGAAGAAUUGCUUGAAAGUUUUGCAGAACAAAAUGUGACCGAAGUUCAAAGAAUCAUGAUCGUCGGAAUGACACUGAAAUUCCCACAAAACAUGUAAUUCUAACAUUUGGCUCCACCACACUACCAGACUCAGUCGAAGCAGGCUAUGUGAAAAUCCAUGUGAGGCCUUAUAUCCCCAAUCCUAGACAUUGUUUCAAAUGCCGGAGGUUCGGGCACAGCUCUCAGACAUGCAGAGGAAAGCUAACGUGUGCCAAAUGCAGUUCUAACGAUGAUACAUCUGAUAAUUGUAAUGCUUAAUCACACUGCACGAACUGUGAAGGGGAUCACCCUGCAUUCUCACGGUCAUGCCCAAUCUGGAAAAAAGAGAAAGAAAUUAUUGCCCUUAAGAUCAAUGAAAACAUCACAUUCUCUGAAGCGCGAAGACGACUUACAUUUCCUCACAACCAAAGUUUUGCCGCUGUGACGAGGCAGGGGGCACUCUCACAACAAUCUAAAGAGCCCGCCCUGGUCACACGCAGUGAACCACGGGGGAUUUUUUCUGCCCCCACAGAGGCAGCACCCAGUGCUGCCAAAUCCAACAACACGCAGACCUUGCUCUUGCAGAGCUGCGUUACUGUGCAAGAACUGAGGCCUGAGACACGUCUCCCAGAGCCUCGUGACCCCGCCUCCACCGCCUCUGAGAAGGAGAUGGAGGUUGACGCAAGUACAUCGGUGCCAGCGGCACCAAAAGACAAGCGCAGCUUGCUUGAGGGAUGUAAAAAAGAAAAAAAACCCUCAAAUAAUUCCACCAAAACCAAAAUAACAUUAUCACUCUACACAGAACACUCCCAAAAACACCUUUGUCAUAAUGGGUGUUCAGAUAUUGCAAUGGAAUGCCAGAGGGCUUUUGCAUAACCUAGAUGACGUCAAAGAAUUGUUAUCUAUGUAUAAGCCUAGAGCGUUCUGUGUUCAGGAGACGCGCUUAAAAUCAAGUGACUCGAACUUUCUAAAUCAGUUUGGAAUUUUUUGGAAAGACCGUGAUGAUGGACAUGCUGCAUCAGGUGGCGUGGCAAUAAUAUUAUCAAAGACUGUUGCAUGCCAAAAUCUCCAACUUAACACACCUUAUGAAGCAGUAGCCGUACAAGCUAUUUUGCUUAAUAGGCUUAUUACUGUAUGCUCUUUGUACAUUCCACCAUACAAGCGGCUCGACAUUACUGAGUUUGAAAAACUAAUAGACUAGCUUCCUGAGCCGUAUAUUGUGGCUGGUGAUUUUAAUGCUCAUAGUGGACUCUGGGGGGACUCAUGCUGUGAUGCAAGAGGCCGGGUAAUUGAAAAAUUUCUUCUAUCCUCUGCAGCAUCCCUGUUUAACAAAAAGUUCCCGACUUAUUAUAGCACUACAUAUAACACCUACUCCUCAAUAGAUCUGGCGGUUGGUUCUGCAACACUUCUGCCAUGGUUUGAAUGGAGAGCUCUCACAGACUCCUUUGGAAGCGACCAUUUUCCAGUUCUCUUAGAGCCGAUACAUACGUGUGACCCACCUGUAUAUCCAAACAAAUGAGAGCUAAAUGCUGCAAACUGGGCAGAAUUCAAAGAGCUCGCAUGUAUGUCCCUUGAAUCCGUAAGGCAGCUUGGUAUUGAUGAAAUGACCGCCUAUAUAACUGAACACAUCAUCCAUGCCACGAAACAAUCAAUACCACAAACCUCUGGUAAAAUAGUGAAUCCUAAGCCCUGGCGGAAUGAAGAGUGCAAGUAAGCACGAAAAGAACAAAACAAAGCAUGGCGUACAUUUUCCAAAUAUCCAACAGAAGAGAACCUUAUAAAUUUCACACAUGCAAAAGCAAAUGGAAGACGUAUUCGUUGGGAGGCCAAGAGAGCUAGUUGGAGAAAUUAUAUCGGUUCAAUAAACUCAUACAAAGAUAUCCAGAAAGUGUACAGUAGGGUUCAAAGGCUGAAGGGGAAUACCACACUACCCUUGCCCGUGGUAGAUGACUGUGCUACUACAUUAGAAGGGCAAGCAGAUUUUUUGGGCGAACACUUUGAGCCCAUAUCGAGCUGCGCGAAUUACACAAAAGCAUUCCUAACAUAUAAAAAAUUAGCUGAGUCAACACCCUUCUCCUUCCUAAAAUCCCAUAGCGAUGGGUGCAAUUGCCCAUUCACGAUGCAAGAAUUAAAAAUAGCUUUGCACAACUGAAAAAACUAUGCGCCAGGAUUAGACAGUAUUAAUUAUGAGAUGGUCAAUUAUUUACCCGAAGAAACACCUGAAUGCCUUUUAUACCUGUUCAAUAAAAUUUUCUGCAGUGGUCAAUUGCCGUCCUGUUGGAAGGAAGCUAUUGACAUGUGGUACUUAUCUUUAUCUAGCGACCACGUUUCGCCGCCUAACAAAAGUUAUCGUACAGCGCGGGACGCGCCUGCAUGUAUCCGAAGUUUCUGGAAAGUUAUUGAUGCUUCUAUCCGCUUUCUGUUGUCGCCGAACCUUAAGUCAUCUGAUUUCAUCGCCUGACGCAAAUGGUGUAUAACUUUGUGGAAGGCACGCGGGCCCGAACGUUUAGUCUGGAACAUUCGACGAUUGAUGUAUAAAAGCCGACGCGCUUGACCCGUUGAUCAGAUUUUCGCCGAUCGCCGACCGUGUUCGCCGCUAUCGUUGUGCUAUAAGUGUAGCCUGUUUUUGUGGGCACAGGUUCGUCCAAUAAAAGUUGGUUUUGUCUUUCACAGUAUUGCUGCUGUGUUCUUCAACGUCACCACCAUGUGACACUAUAGUAGUACCAAUAUUAAAGCAUGGAAAGGCCCCUCCUGUGUACAGAGCUACAGACCUAUCGCUCUAAGAAGCUGUGUAUGUAAAGUGUUUGAAAAAAAUGACAAACUGCCGAUUAAUGUACUUCUUGGAAUACAAUGGAAUUCUGGAUCCCCGCCAAGCCGGUUUUAGACCAGGAAGGUGCACAACAGAUAGCCUAGUCCUACUUGAGAGUUAUAUAUGAGACGCAUUUAUUCAUAAGCAAUACUGUCUAUCAGUAUUUGAUCUCUAAAAAGCUUAUGACACUACCUGGAGGUAUGGCAUACUGCAAGGACUCGCGUCGUAUGACGUGUCAGGCAACAUGUUUAACGUAAUAAAAAGCUACCUGUCCGAACGAAAGUACAGACUAAGGGUGGGAACUGCAAUGUCGAGAGUCUUUGUGCAAGAAAACGGUGUACCACAAGGAGGAGUGCUCAGCUGUACACUAUUCUUAGUUAAAAUGAACACACUACAAAAAACACGCCCACCAUUUAUAUCCUACUCAGUCUAUGUAGAUGAUAUACAGAUAAAUUUUAAAUCAUGCAAUCUGUUCAUAUGCGAGAGGCAGAUUCAGCUGGGAGUGAACAGGCUUUCAACAUGGGCUGACAAGAAUGGCUUUCGCUUUAAUGAAGAAAAGACGACAUGCUUGUUAUUUUCUCGGAAAAGAGGCAUGCAUCCUGAACUGAAUAUUACGAUGAACGGAUAUGUGCUUAGUGUAAAAAAGGAGCAGUAAUUUCUUGGCGUUAUAUUGGAUGAUAAGCUCUCGUUUGUACAACAUAUAAAAACAUAAAAAUGAAACGUUUAAAAAAUAUGAACAUCCUCAAAAUUCUUUCGCACCAGUCAUGGGGAACUGACAAGAAAUGCGUGCUCUCGCUCUAUAACAGUUUGAUUAGAACAUAUAUUGAUUACGGGAACAUCGUUUACCAAUCAGCUUCACGUUCUGUUUUAAAAAUUCUGGAUCCUGUACAUAACCUUGGCAUGUGACUAGCCCUAGGUGCAUUCCGUACUAAACCCUGUUGCAAGUUUGCACGUACUAGAAGCUAAUCAGUGGAACCUAGAUAGACAACGUAAGUAUUGUAGUUUUAUGUACGUACUUAAGAUUAGUUCCAACUGAGAACACCCAUGUUACAAAAUGAUGAAGAGCACAGAAACGCAAACCCUCUUUGCAAAGCGGCCAACGUUAGCAAAGCCAUUUCUACUGAAAGCAUCGUCGCUAUGUCAAGAGAACAACGUAUUGCUGUCGGACGUUCACCUGCAUAACACUAACGAGUUAGUAGCACCAUGGGAAUCAGUCACCAUACAUUGACUUCUCAUUCACAGAAACAAACAAAAAGCAUACACCCCAAGAAGCUGUAGAGCAACACUUCUUAUCACUACAGAGUAAGUACAAGUGUCCAGAAUUUUACACUGAUGCUUCAAAAACUGCUGAAACAACAUCAUGUGCUGCAAUUGGUCCAGAUUUUGUAGCCCAUUUAAGAUUAAACAAAUACACAAGUAUCUUUACUGCUGAAGCCCAUGCUAUACUCCUUGCAGUUAAAGAAAUAACAAAACAGAUCUAUCAAUCGAUAAUAUAAACAGAUGCCUUAAGUGUGGUCCGCUCGAUACACCUAGAAAAACAAAGAAAGAAUCCGGUGAUAAACACUCUCAUUAGCAGCUUAUCCUUAGCCUACAAGAGAGGGCUACAUAUUAUAAUCUGCUGGGUACCGGGCCAUACUAGUAUACCUGGUAAUGAAGCGGCAGACGCAAAUACGGCUUUAACAGGUCUAAGGCCCCAAAUAGACGUAAGUUAUGUUCCAUAUACAGAUAUGAAACCUGUCGUUCGAGGAAUACUGCGUCAUGCAUGGCAAGAAGCUUGGGAUGCAGAAAAUAAUAACAAACUUCACAUCAUCCAAUCCUACAUUACCCAAACACCCGUAUACCGGCAUAGACAGGAGGAAGUAAUCAUGUCGAGACUGAGGAUAGGACACACACAUGCAACACACUCAUACUUGCUAACGGGUACUGAUCCGCCGGUCUGCAUUAGAUGUGGAAGUCAACUCACAGUCAUACAUGUUCUUAUACAAUGCCCUGGCAUGGAAGCCACGCGAAAAAAUACUUUCCUGAACUUUACCGUAGCAAUUUACCUAUGCACCCUGCAUUUUUCCUAUCGGCUGAGCCGAUGUUCCCCCUCGACCGGCUGUUAAGUUAUCUUAAUGAUGUGAACUUUUUGAAGAGUAUAUCUUACCGAUUUUAAACUCAUCUUCCCUACGCUACCCGAAAUCCUACAUAAUCAUCCUAAAUUCUCUCAAGGCCCCAAAUUAAUUAGAAGUUAUUUGCAGUACAGGUAUCAGACCGUUGUCGUAGGUAACAACUGUUCAAAAAAUUUGCCUAUAUUCGCUGGAGUUCCUCAAGGAAGCAUACUAGGACCACUAUUGUUUAACCUGUAUAUAAAUGACAUAACUAAUAUCAAUACCAACGCCCAAUUUGUUAUCUAUGCCGACGACACUAGUUUGUUCAUAACUUCUAAGGACGUGAAAGAAUUACUAUGUGUUGCUAAUGAUACACUAGCCCAAAUAAACAAGUGGAGCUUAUUCAACUCAUUAACUAUUAAUACUACCAAAACAAAAGGCAUGCUUUUCCAGCCAAAAAACAAGAGGCACAGUAUUGACGGACAUCUAAAAAUAGGCACAUCUUUCAUUGACAUAGUACCAUCGGUUAAAAGCUUAGGUGUCAUAUUCCAAGAGAAUAUGCUGUGGAAUGACCAUGUCAACACUAUUGCUAACAAACUUGCAUUAGGCUUCCUUUUACCAUUAAGAGUGAAGCUCCUACUUUAUAAUUCUCUUUUCUUAUCUCAUGUUAACUAUUGUCACCUCGUAUGGGGCAACACGACUAGCAGUAACAUCAACAUUCUAUAUUUAUUGCAAAAGAAAGCCAUCCGUGCAAUUUCAAAGUCUUCAUUCGAUGCGCAUACUGAUCCUCUUUUUUGUCAAUUAGAUAUAGCGCCGAUAAAAUCGGUCUACAAUACAAUUUUGCUGAAACGCUUUUUUACAGAAAGAAAAGGUAGCACUCAUUUUCUUGUGCACUUGUCAAGGCUAACACUAAAUACAAGCAGUCUCAGUACACGUCACAGAGAAACUUGGCAUAUUCCGCACUCAAGAACUAACUACGGGAAUCAAAUGCUGCGCCAUGAACUACCAUCUCUACUUAACUCGUUUCAUUAAUCACCCUACUUAUCUUCAUUUCAAUUGGGUGGCCAAACUUGCCACUCAUAUUGGCAUUCACGGGAAUGCUUAGUGUUUUUCUUUGUGUUUUGUUCUGAUGUAUACGUGUUCUAAACUGUAAUUGCACAGUGACCUAUUUAGUUCUGCAUUUCUGUGAAUGUUACCCGUAAAUGAAAAGGGAUUCAUAAUGUCUGCAUUUUGUUGUUUUCCUGUUCGUGUUUUUCGUAACUUGUAUGACAAUACCAUAUCUGCAUUCAUGUCAAUUUUUUCGCCGCAGUGCGAAGUAACUUUGUAUAAAUAGUCCCAUUUAUCCACAUAUUGUUUAUAUUUUUUAUUGUUCAUCUUGUAUUUGUGCACGCAUUGCUACGUGAUGCCAAAGAAACCAAUAAGGGACACAGACCUAGUCAAGCCGAUUUUAUGGCUUUUUGUCUGUGCCCCUGCUAUCUGUACGUUGUAUAGAUACAAAUAAAGUUCAAAUAAAUAAAGUUCAAAGUUCAAAUGCAAGCCUUAUGUUUUUUAAUUCCUAGGCCUUUACAGCCACCGCAGUACAUCACAGGCAUUGCAACCCAUUAUACCCGCUGUCAUGUUUAUAACAUUCUACCGCACUACUAAACAUUGUUGCUGGCGCUCUUUGGCCGUUGUAGCCCUUGCGCCAUAAAACACUAAUUAAUAAUAAUAGGGAGUGGAUAGUCUGCCGGCAGUUCUGCUCAAGACUUUUUCACCAUUUUAGGCUGACUUUGGUCAAGUUUAUACAUUUGGAUGUAUAUAUUAUGCUGAUCCACCUAAGCACAAUGUACCCAUUUGGGAGAUCAGGAAUCUGGUGGAGUUAGCAUGCACAGUUCACACUUAUGCAGAGAAAAUGUUUUUGGUACAAUACAUAGUGCAAGCAUUUAGAAAGACUCGACGCAAUGAAGAAAAUGAACAAUCUUUAUUAACUGAGCAAACUAAUUAUUGCUGGCAAUACCCCCUUCACAUGCCACUUCAUUCUGUCCAUUGAAAAUUUAGUUUCACCACUACUUUUAUACCUACGGAGGCAUGAAAAAAGUACAGCCGCAAAAUGGAUUGGGAAUUUGAAAGUUCCUUUCACGUUUUGUUAAGUAUAUAACAUGUGAACUUGAUGCGAGAACUCUCCACAGGGAUAUCCGACAUGCAGACAUGAACUAUUUCUUGUCUGGCAUACUUGGAAAGCACCUAUCCACCCACUUGAAAAAUAUGCCUGCUGUAAAACAUUGUGAAAAAUAGUGAAAGGAGUGAAGGCACCACAUGACGACAUACACUGAGAGGAAGCACCUGCCUGUCUGCCUUCCUACUCAUUUUACCAGAACAGUUUAUACAUGUCAUUCAAAUUUGCAGCACAGCUCCAUUCAGAACUGUUUUGCAGAUGUAUGUGAGACAAAAUAUAAUUUUCAUCAGUGCUUCUGAUGUGCUAUCUCUGCGUGUGCAAUUGUUGCACACAAGCUGAAGGAAAGUGCCAGCAUUUCACGCUGAGUGCACUACCUCGGGGGAAAUGGCAUCGCUGGCUCUGUGCUGAGGUUUCCUUCUGUUCUGUUUAUAAUGGUGCCCCCUACCUGCAAAAUUUCAUUUCCCAUUGUUUUCUGUGCUCGCAGUCUCACAUUAUUGCCAUGGCAAGCUGAUGUAGUCGAAUCUCGAUAGUUCAAACUUGAAGGGGCCCGAAAGUUUGUUCCAAUUAAAGGAGUUUGAAUUAGACGGAGCUCAUUGAAUGGAGGAGGAAUUGCGUGGCGCAUGUGCACUGAGCUAACGCGCAAGUGAGGAGUUCUGGAAAGUGGGCUUCACGGCAGCCUGUGCCGCGCUGCUGUAAAGCCACACCUAUGGGCAAAAUUUUUGCUGCUGUGAAGCUGUACCUCAAGGUAACAUUUGCCUUUGACUACUCUUUAAUUGUUUGAAUCUUAGGUGAGCAUGCCGAAAUACGGUUCUUGUAACGGGAAACAGGAGCAGAAACUGGCGCACGGCUGCACUGCCAUGUCGGGGAUGCUGCCGGAUGCGUUGGCCAUGAGUUAAUAUAACCAACUCUAGAGGAAAAGCUGGCCCGAAAAAGUGGGAACCGCUAGGGCGCCGCCCUGUUGCUGCUGGUCAAUGUGGCCAGCGCAGUUACUAUUGAAAGAGCUGAAUCAUAUGGCUGAAUACAAGUACAGGUCACCUCAUGCUUUGUCAUUUAAAAUCGCAUACCUGAUGGCUUUAUGAAGGUUAUACGUUAAUAUUAAGUUUACAGAAAGCGCUUGUUAAGUGUUUGACUUAUGCAAAUCACGAUGUAUGCAUUCAUGCAAUAAAGGAUGACACGAAUUUCGUUUUUGAAUCUUUUUUGAUGCGUAGUAGUUUCAUACAGUUUAGAUUUGACAUGUGAUCACGCGACAUCAGACGCUACGGCACCUUCGUACCUUUUGUGCCGCACCCAACCCCCGAAGAGCUCUAGCAUUUACCUUCACAUGUAAGUAAGCAAAUGUAUCUUCUUGUUAAAAACCUCGCUCGAGUAGAUAGCUCUUGUGAUGCAUCACAAUCGUUUGAGAAGCCUCACAGUAGAGCAUUUUUUUUACAUGCGGAGCGGUGUUUUUAUUUGCAGGUUUCCCUUCAGUAGAAAAUUGCUAGACAGGCGGACCAGCUCACCGGAAUUGCACUGGCGAAUCCACAAGCAAGUCAUAAAAUCUGUUUAAUUGUCGCACUUUGAACGAUCAUGCUUCCACAAAGGCCACAACAGAAAAACAGCCUGAUGCCGAAUAUUUGUGUGCCACAACGCAAUCAAGAGACGUUUUCGCGGUUCCUAGGGAGUCCGAAAAAUUGGACGCUGACUGUACAAUUGUCCAGGAGGAUGCUUCAAAUAGUCCGUGUGGCGAACGCGCUGCAGAAGGAGAACAAAAAGACAAGGACCUAUGCAUUCAGAAAUGAACAGGAAAGGAAGCAUGCUACCACUCUUUUUAAGGGCUUGCACUCUAAAAGCAAAGUGUUGGCUGAUGCCGAGAUGCAGGUGUCCCUCAUCCAAGUAAAAAAACUCUUUAAAACAGUGAAAUGCAACACUGAGGCGUUGUGUGCAAGCUGAGAGUACGUCAGGAGAGUUGAGGUUGACUUACCAGCUGUUGCGAGAUAAACUCACUUGUGAUAAAGUUUGGGCCUCAUACCAAUUAGCUUGCUAUCUGUUGAUAGAAAUAGCUCAUAUUCGAAAAUAUUCUGCAUGCAUCGCUUAUUCGUAUUUGAGAAUGUUUGACUCAAUUUGCCAUGGUUUUUACUAUUUCUUUCAAAGAUAUUUUAUUCGCUGUGCAUUUUACUAACCCCUCCCUACUGUUUUCUUUUUGAAUAAAAUAAACACUAGCCCUUAUUAUUCAAACUGGACUAAGUUUUCUUAUUUAUUUUUUAACAUGCUUACUAGAGGGGGACACCAUUGGGCGAAAUGAUGUAGGGAGCCCGUGUUGACAUAAAACAAUGUUCUGUGUCACUAAGGGAAUAUUGCAAAUGCACUCGAGGAAAACCUGGAAAGCUCAGGAAAUUAGGAAAUGUCAACUUAGUAGACACCCUGAAAAAAACAAUUUAAUGAUGCUCUCUCCACACUGGGACAAAUAAAAAGAAACUGAUCACAUCUAAUGUGGACAUAUCAUGCCUUGUGAAACACUAAAGGAAAAAUUCAGUAUCGAGCUAUGGGACUUGCCGCAUAGAUGUGGGCGGCCUUGUGCCAAUAGUGAUAGUUACCACUGCAUUUAGAAAUUGAAAGUAUUCAUGCAGACAAGGAUGAUUUUUUUAUAUUUUUGGCUGCCACUUCAAAUGCCUUCACCAAGUGUUACAAUGCUGCAUGCAGCCAUACUAAAUAUCUCACUGCAACACCUACAGGUAAAAAGCAAAAGCAGCCAAAGUGCUGGUGCAUUCUGGACACUAUGUUUGAGAACUUUUAGGCAAAAAGAGUGCAAGAAGCAGACAUAAGAACUGCAUUUAUUUCCAUAAUUACCCAUUUGAAUGACCUUUUCUUUUUGCUUAGACAAUGCCUAGGCCUAGCCACAGCAGCUCUCUCAUGCAGACUCCACAACCCAAGAGACCGUGGAGGCAAAUGCAAGCAGCCAGCACACCACGAACAGCCACCCUGACUGCGGGUGUGUCACCCUAGUCGCCAAAGAAGCAUUUGAGGGAAAGCGACAGGCAAUGUGAACAGCCACUUCUCCAUGUAAACGAUACUGUUUCUCUCGGAUGACUCCUACGCCUCACCAUGCCAGCUCAUCUGUGCAGACUCCACCAACAAAGAUGCCACAGAGGCACAUGCAGGUUAGAGGCAAGAAGCAGUGGCCCUGGUGUUGACAUUCACCCAAUUUCUUUCUUUUUCUUACACUGAGGCAGCCAGCACACCUCGAACAGCUACCUUGACUGCAGGUGUGUCAGCAGAUUAAGCUUCAGUAAACUUGAACUUGAUAAUAAACUUGAAGGCAAAUAGGA